rnacentral:rRNA from 1 species
UCCUGGGAUAACACUGACGUUCAUGCUCGAAAGCGUGGGUAGCAAACAGGAUUAGAUACCCUGGUAGUCCACGCCCUAAACGAUGUCAAUUAGCUGUUGGGCAACUUGAUUGCUUAGUAGCGUAGCUAACGCGUGAAAUUGACCACCUGGGGAGUACGGUCGCAAGAUUAAAACUCAAAGGAAUUGACGGGGACCCGCACAAGCGGUGGAUGAUGUGGAUUAAUUCGAUGCAACGCGAAGAACCUUACCUGGUCUUGACAUGUACGGAAUCCUCCAGAGACGGAGGAGUGCCUUCGGGAGCCGUAACACAGGUGCUGCAUGGCUGUCGUCAGCUCGUGUCGUGAGAUGUUGGGUUAAGUCCCGCAACGAGCGCAACCCUUGUCAUUAGUUGCCAUCAUUAAGUUGGGCACUCUAAUGAGACUGCCGGUGACAAGCCGGAGGAAGGUGGGGAUGACGUCAAGUCCUCAUGGCCCUUAUGACCAGGGCUUCACACGUCAUACAAUGGUCGGUACAGAGGGUAGCCAAGCCGCGAGGUGGAGCCAAUCUCACAAAACCGAUCGUAGUCCGGAUUGCACUCUGCAACUCGAGUGCAUGAAGUCGGAAUCGCUAGUAAUCGCAGGUCAGCAUACUGCGGUGAAUACGUUCCCGGGUCUUGUACACACCGCCCGUCACACCAUGGGAGUGGGGGAUACCAGAAGUAGGUAGGGUAACCGCAAGGAGCCCGCUUACCACGGUAUGCUUCAUGACUGGGGUGAAGUCGUAACAAGGUAGCCGUAGGGGAACC